UAUAAUCAAAGGAAAUAUAUUUCACUCACAUUUGGCAAUAAGCUCCACCAAAUGUGAGUGAAAUAUAUUUCCUUUGAUUAUAUACCACAU